rnacentral:rRNA from 1 species
UACGGGGGGGGGCAAGCGUUGUUCGGAAUUACUGGGCGUAAAGGGCUCGUAGGUGGCCAACUAAGUCGGACGUGAAAUCCCUCGGCUUAACCGGGGAACUGCGUCCGAUACUGGUUGGCUUGAGUUUGGGAGAGGGAUGCGGAAUUCCAGGUGUAGCGGUGAAAUGCGCAGAUAUCAGGAGGAACACCAAUGGCGAAGGCAGCUCGCUGGGACGGUACUGACGCUGAGGCGCGAAAGCGUGGGGAGCAAACAGG